GUAAAAAUUGAUAGGUAGGGCUUGCCGAUUCAGAAAAGAAAAAAUUAAGAAAAAAAACAACCAUCGCUUCAGAUCUAAGAGAACGGUAUUUUCAAAUACACUCGACAUUCACCUCACCAAACCAGCCGUUCAAUCGGAGUGGCGAUCUGUUUAAUCUAAUGGCUAUAGGUAGCUGUUAGCAACAUAUUGAAUUGGAUUGGAUGGAAAAAAACAAGAACCGGACCGAUAUGUUGGCUGCCGGACGGAAAAAGCUUCAACAGUUCAGGCAAAAGAAGGAUAAUAAAGGAAAUAGUAGCAAGCCAUCGGGUAAAGGUAGUAAAUCCGGGCGUGAUAAGACGGAAGGCACAGUUGCUGAAGCAGCUGGAGAAUUAUCCAAUCAUGAUACUGUUGAUAUUUCAGAGUCAAGUUCUGGAGUGGUUGCAGAGGCAAGUGAUACAGCUACUGGUAUAUCCAAGCAUGAUGUAACAGGAGACGCUUCCAAUGACACAGCCGUACAGCAGCUACAUAAUGCCGAUGGACAGAUAUCCAAGCAUGAUGCAGAAGAUACUACUGCUUUACCAGAGUCAAUUCCUAGAGUGGAUACGGUGGCAAGUGAUGCUGCUUCUAGAGUAGAUCCAGUAACAAGUGAAAGUCCGGUUGCUAAUAAAGAUACUUCAGCAAAGGGUAAAGUUGGAAUAGCAUGUCUUUUGGAUGUUGCCGGAUUCCCACCAAAGGGAUCAAGAACAGAUGACACUAGUGAUGGGCAUGAUGUAGAUAUUAGGGCUUCUCUGGAGGAUGGAUCAUCUUCUCUGGUUCUUGAGGAGACAACCAUUAAUGUCCCAGCAAUGGUUUUAGAAGAGAGGUCAGGAGAUUCAAAUUUACUUUUGCCCACUGUUUUUUCAUCCGGACUGGAGAGGGAGCAUGGGGAAGAGCAGGUAACAGAUGUAGGGGCAAUGCAGGAAGUUGGCGGUUCCGGUGGAAAUGAAACUGAUGACCGCAUGGUGAAUUUUCUUGAUGGAGAUAGCAAUCCUCCUACAGAUGAUGCUAAUGAUUCUAUUGCAGACAGAAGGGCAGCUGAUUCAGGGAAUAGGUUUGUGGAGGAGAAUAUCUCUGUUGCCACACAACUCAGCAAGAUUGACAAUGCAUCAUUGGCUGAUUCUGUUGCCAACUAUGCUGGAGAAGCUGAAGAGCCCCGUGACCAUUCUUUUGGCACUUCUCCUUUAAUUGAGUCCUCAAUGAUGUCAACCGUAAGAUCUGUGGCAAUGGGUCAUGAGAGAGAUGUCACAUCAUUUGGUCCAAAUGAUGAGAAACCAGAGGCAGUUAAUUUCUCAGAUACAGAAGGUACUCAAGCAAACUCUGGAUUUUUUGAGGUUGAAAGAUCUUACGAGGUUGAAAGUAACAAUAAAAAUAAUUUCUUAGCAUGUAAACACAUAGACCUGUCGUCGAUUUUGGAUGGAAGUGUGGUCAAACUUUCCCAGCUUGCAGAAAUUUUACAGGUACUUGAUCAAGAUGAAUUCAGGUACAUAUUCAUGUCAAGAGAAUCAUCAGCUGAAAAACCUAGAAAUGCAGAUAAGCGUCAAGCUCCUGAUGAUGUCAUUCAUGAUUCUUUUGAGAGGCUCAAAGAACAUUUGUAUAUGACAAGUUUGUCAAAGGAUGUGUGUUAUUUACAACUGUCUGAGCAUCAAAAGGGGAUUGAUGGAAUUGCAGUCAACUCUUCACUUGUUGAAGUCGAAGGGAAAAAUGAUACAAUUGCCAAAGAAAUUGUGCAGUACAGAAAUGAGCUCCAGGAGUCUUUAUCAGAGAAGGUAGAGCUCGAGAAGCAGCUUCGGUUAUCAAGAUCUGAGGCUGAUGUUUUUGCUGCUAAAGUUAAUGAAUUGCAGAAUAAACUAGAAAUGACACAAGGAGAAAUGUCAGGCAUAUUUUCUGAGCUAGUUGAGUGCAGGAAUUUGGUACAAGCCUUGCAAUCUGAAAAUGAAAACUUGAAUGUAAGUUUCAAAGUGAUGAUCGAGGAAAAAAACAAACUUUCACAGGAGAGUACAAAUGUUUUGCUGGAGAAUGAAAAAAUCACUGAGGAAUUAUAUCAGCACAGAGUUUCUUUAGAGUCAUUCCAGACUUUAAUACAAGAUGACAGGAAAAGACUCGAGCAGGAAAAUUAUGGCAUGAUCAGUGAGAAUAGUAAAUUACUUGCUGGCCUGGCAGAGUGUGAGAAUACAGUGGAAGUUCUAAGGGUGGAAAACAAAAAUUUGAAAGAGAUUUUGACAUCUUUAUCAGAAGAAAGAAAAAAAUUUGAUGAGGAAAAAGUAUCGAUGGACCAUCAGAUUGGCAAAAUGUCAGAAGAAUCAGUUAACUGCAAAGAAAUGAUUCUAACUCUUCAGACGGAGAUUAUCAACCUGAAUGAGCAUAUGAGAUCCAUAUCUGAGGAGAAGAGCAAGCUUGUAGAAGAGAAGAAUACAAUUUUCAGUGAGUAUGAAAAGCAAUAUCACAAGUUAGUGGAGUUCAAUGUUCUGGAAGCUGUUCUGCAAGCAGAAUGCUGUAAGGCAGUGAAGGAUCUAAAAGAAGCCAGAACUUCCAUUAAGCAUUACACUGAUGAAAAUAAAUCCCUCUGUGCUGAUUUAGAGUUUCACAAGAUCAAACUAAAAGAUAUAGAUUGUCAGAAAAACUCAUCUCAGUUUGAUGAAGUUGAAAGUCAAGGUGUUAAGAAUGAUACUGGUGUGUUGCACGAGUCCAAAUCUCAUCAGUCAUCUAGUAGACAGAUGAAAUUGGAUAUUUACAGUGACGCCUUUGGAUUUUUAGCACUAAAAAGGAACUUGGAGGAAGCAGGAGUUUUAAUGCAGAAACUUGAGAGGGAAAUUGAAAGUAUGCACUUAGAAUCAUCUUCAUUGAAUAGAUCAACGGAUGCUGUUUCCCCUGAAGUGUCACGAUUGAUUCAAACUUUUGAGCCAAAAGGUUACACAGAGAAGGAUGGCCAAGAUCCAGAGAAAUCCCCUUCAUCUGAAGGCCACACAACUGAAGAUUCACACAUGAGCACCAAAAUGGUUGCACAAAAUCUCAAGAUAUUGCUCAAAGAAUUAGUAAGUGAUGCUGAGGAUGCCAGUGAAUUUUGUAGAGUUAAGCACAGCAAAGUACUGGCUAAUGCUGCUGGAACAGACUUGAGCAAGUAUGAUGCGUUGGAAGAGCACAAUGAUCAAGUACAUAAAGCAAAUAUAGAGCUUAUGGUUUUUUAUGAGGCUAUGAGAGAGCUUAUCCAUCAUGGUGUUGCAAAAGAGAGUGAACUUCUUGGUCAAUGUGAUGCCAUGCAGAAGCAAGAAGCUGUUCUAAAAUUAGAGAACCAUCAUCUUCAAGAGAAGAUGAAUGACUUUCAAGGUCAUAUUAACGAGCUGCAGGUUCAAUUGGAGGGACAUUGUAGAGACUCGGAUGAGAUGACUUCUUCAAUUUCUAAUCAAUUGCAAGCACUCCAAUCAGAAGUGUCUGACAGAGAAUUGAUUCUCCAAGAAGAACAGAGUUCUGUUGCGGCUCAGAUUCUUAAGACUGUUGCCAUGCUGGAUUCUACUGUCAAUAAUAUUUCUGCCAACCCAUUGCCUAUUGGAAAUAGCAACCCUGAUGUUGUUGGCUCUGUUGCUGCUUCUGUUGAUGGUGCCUGCAAAGUGAUUCAGGGUUUGCAUGGACUACUUGAGGCUUCUCAAAGUGAAUUUCAAGAAAUGUCUCACAAAACUGAUGUAGCUCUGAGCAUUCUGCAUAGACUUUACAGUGAACUUGUGAGGACUUUAUUUGGGUAUGACCCAGAUGCAGCUAACAAAGUCGUGGCAGAUGGUAAAAGGCUGGAUCUUUUACAUCCUAAUUUUUUUGAUGCCUUAUUGGACCAAUUGAAAAAUCUUUAUAUUGAGAGAUUGGAGCUUCAGUCUACAAAUACACAACUCAGUUCACAGAUGACUAACACAGCAAGGGAGACUGAUGAACUGCAAAAGUUAUGUCUAAAAUCAGAUACUGUUCUCAAGUUAAUUGACGAGAUCGAACAAUCAGUGAAGUUGGAGAGGCCAGCUGUGUCUGCAGAUGAACCUGCCUCACUCCUGGAGUCUCUGAUUCAUUUACUCAUUCAGAAAUGCAGAGAAACUGGUCAGGGCUCAAGCUUAUGUGCAUCUCUAGAAAUGCAUGUACAUGAUUUGCAGGGUGAAGUGGAACGCUUGAACUUUGUUCUUAUGGAAUAUGGGAAUGAGAACCUGGUUUUUAAGCACAGUCUGAAGAGUGCGCAAGAGGUUGUUAUUGCUCUCAAUUCUAAAGUGCAAGAGAAAGUUGUUGAGCUAGAACUGUCUGAGCAGCGAAUAUCGUCCCUUAGAGAGAAGUUAGGUAUUGCAGUUACAAAGGGGAAAGGCCUUAUUUCACAACGCGAGAGUCUCAAGCAAUCAUUAUCUGAAACGUCCAAGGAACUGGAGAAAUGUUCGCAGGAAUUACUAUCUAAAGAUGCAAGGCUUCAUGAAGUUGAAACAAAAGUAAAAGUCUACGCUGAGGCAGGUGAGCGCAUGGAAGCCCUGGAAUCUGAGCUCUCCUACAUUCGCAACUCAGCUACUGCACUAAGAGAGUCAUUUCUGCUUAAGGAUUCUGUCCUACUGAGAAUAGAAGAGAUUCUAGAAGAUUUGGAGCUUCCAGAGAACUUCCACUCCAAUGAUAUAAUUGAUAAGAUUGAUUGGUUGGCAAAAAUGGUUGGAAAUCACUCCUUACCUCUUGGUGAAUGGGAUCACAGAAGCUCAGCUGAGGGAGUUUCGUAUUCUGAUGCUGGAUUUGGUAGUUCAGAUGGCUUGAAAGAAGAUAUGCAGCCAACCCCUACUUCUAGUGAGGAUUUAAGGAGAAGAUAUGAAGAACUGCAAAACAGAUUUUAUGGGUUAGCUGAGCAAAAUGAGAUGCUUGAACAGUCAUUAAUGGAAAGGAACAACCUUGUGCAGCGGUGGGAAAUUUUUUUGGACACAGUAGAUAUGCCAUCUCAUCUGCGAUCUGGGGAGCCUGAUGAUAAGAUUCAGUGGUUGGGAAGUGCACUAUCAGAGGCACAAAACCAUUCUUAUUCUCUCCAGCAGAAGAUUGAUAACUUGGAGACUUUUUGUGGAUCCCUAAGAGCUGAUGUUGAAGAUUCACAAAGAAGAACAUCUGAGCUUGAAGCAGCUUUCCAUCAGGCUUGCUCAGAAACAGAAAUGCUAACGAAGGACUUGGAGAUACUGAGGCAAGAAAAUGAUGAAAGCAUAAAAAGAAUAGCUGUUUUUUCUCUUAGAAAUGAGAAUCUUCAGAAUGAAUCAAGUUUGUUGCAAGCACAGAAACUUCGGUUGGAGGAAGAUAAGGAUCACAUUGAGGAUGUAAUUAGAAAACUGAAGGAAAUGGUUAAGAAUGCUCUUCGGGAUUCUUGUCCUGAAGAUGUGGUACUUGAUCAGGAGGGGGUUGAAUAUUUUGAAGAGAUAUUGAGGAAGCUUGUAGAGGAACAUAAGACACUAUCAUCUGGGAACCUUGUUAAUGUGGAUUCUACUGAUUCUACUGAUGUGCACAUCACUGGAAAGGAGGAGCUGUCUAACACUUCCAGAGAUUUUGAAGAGCAGGAUGUCACGACUUUGAGCAAAAAACUAGAUGAAUCUAUGGGUGAGCUAAUGAGCUUGAAGGAGGAGAAAGAUGGAUACAUGCAGACCAAUCAAUCCCUGGUUCGUGAAUUGCAGGAGCUGGAAGUAAAAAAGAAAGAAUUGGAAGAGCUACUUAACCGAGAAGAGCGAAAAUCAGCUUCUUUGAGAGAGAAGCUAAAUAUUGCUGUUAGAAAAGGGAAGUCCUUGGUGCAGCAGCGAGAUGGCAUGAAGCAAUCAAUCGAAGAACUAAAUGCUGAGGUUGAGCGCCUCAAGUCUGAGAGCAAGCACACUGACAAAACUAUUUCUGAGUAUGAGGAACAGAUCAAGAACUUGUUGGUUGCCCGCGACAGGGUACAGGUGGUGGAAUCUGAAAAUAGUUUCCUCAGGGAUCGUCUGGCAGAAACUGAACACCAUAUGCUGGAGAAAGAGGGUAGCUGGAGCAGUAUUUUGAAUGCUCUGGAUGAAAUAGAUGUUGGAUUUGAAAUUAAUUCUGUAAAUCCAGUUGAGAGGAUAACAGAAAUAGGCAAGUACUUGCAUGGUCUACAUGGUCGAAUGGAUUCCCUUGAACAAGAUUCAAGAAAAUCUAAAAGAGCAGCUGAACUACUGCUUGCAGAGUUGAAUGAAGUUCAGGAAAGAAAUGAUGUCCUUCAAGAUGAACUAGCAAAAGUUGUUGAUGAACUUUCAGAAGCUUCCAGGGAAAAAGAUUUAGCUGAAAAUGCCAAACAUGAAGCUGUUGCACACAUUGAAAAACUGUCUUAUUUACACUCGGAGGAAAAGAAGAGACAAAUUUCUGAAAUUACAGUUUUAAAAUUUGGUGUGGACAACGUGAAAAAUGAUCUUUCUGCAAUUGACAAAGAACUGGGGGAUGCUCUUUCCAAAGAUUUGGAAGUUCUGUACAACGUGAAGGCUACAAUGGAAUCAUUUUUUGAUUUAGAUGUCGUUCCUGAUCUGGGUGCUCUAUUUCCUGGCAGCUUACCUGGGGGCACAUUGUCUACGAAAUCAGAGAACAAGGUUUUUAUGACCCAAAUUGAUUCUAUCCGGGAGCGAAUUCACGAGCAUUCACGUUUAUUACAAGAAGAAUCUUCUCGCUUAUCCGAAGUAGUCAUGAAUGUUCAUAGAGGGUAUACUUCUGAGAAGGAGUUCUAUGAAUCUGUGAAGAGAGAUGCUGAGCGUUUACAAUCAAUUGACAAAGAGGAGGAGUCAAAAUUGCAUAUCUUGCAUGGAAACAUGACAUUGUUGUUUGAAAACUGUGCUAGUGCAAUUUCAAGACUCGAAAACUGGCAGGAACAUAUGGUUGAAAAUGCAUUGGCAUCUAGAUCUCCACAGAGGAACUUAAAUUCUCAAAAUCAAAUUGGAGAAAAUAUUUCCAUUGGCGAUGCUAGCAUCUUCAAUGAGGAAAGCAUUAGGAGCAUGUGCGACAAACUAUCACUGGUUGUGGGGGAUUCCAUAAGCAUGCAUACUAAUGAGUUGGGAAGAGUGAUGGAAGUUGGGCAGAGUGAGAAGAAGAGUACCAUAAUGAAUUUACAGAAUGAACUUCAAGAGAAGGAUAUCCAGAAAGAGAAAAUUUGCAAGGAACUUGUUGGUCAGAUAAAGGAAGCUGAGACCAAUGCAAAGAAUUAUUUACUUGACCUUCAGCAAGCAAGGGUAAAGCUAGAUGCUUCACAGAGACAAUUGGAUGCAAUGGGUGAGGAGCGCAAGUUGUUGGACCAGAGAGUGAAAGAACUCCAAGUUAAUGAAACUAAUGCCAUAGAUUUGCAGCAGAAAGUCAACUCACUGACAGAUGCACUAGCUGCAAAAGUACAAGAAUGUGAGGGGCUGAUGCAAGCCCUUGAUGAAGAGGAGACGGAAAUGGAAAUCCUUGCAAACAAGAUUGUGGGGUUUGAAAAUGAGUUGCAUCAAAAGAACAAAGACUUGGAGAACCUUGAAGCGUCUCGUGCUAAAGCUUUAAAGAAGCUUUCUGUCACCGUGAUCAAGUUUGAUGAACUUCAUUAUCUCUCUGAAAAUCUCCUAUCUGAGGUUGAGAAACUCCAAUCCCAGCUGCAAGAGAAAGAUGGAGAGAUUUCUUUCCUUAGGCAAGAGGUUACUAGGUGCACUAAUGAUGCACUAGCUGUCACACAGAUGAGCAAGAAGAGUUCUGAUGAGAUUCGGGAGUUGCUUGCUUGGCUUGAUUCCUCGAUAUCUCAUGUACAGGUCAAUGAUGUAACUAUUGAUUAUUCAAAUCACCUGGUCGACGAAUAUAAAGAGGUAUUACAGAAGAAGAUUUUGGACUUGAUAUCUGAGUUGGAGAAUCUUCGUGUGACGACCCAGAACAGAGAUAUAAUGUUGCAAGAAGAGAGAUUUAAAGUGGAUGAAUUAACACAAAAAGAACAGCAUCUGAAGAACUCAUUACGAGAAAUGGAAUCUCAACUAUUUGUGCUCCAAGGUGUUGGGGGUUCUGAUAAAGCUACAAAAUCUACUUCAGAGAUUGUGGAGGUUGAGCCAACGAAAAACAAAUGGAAGUCUAGUGGGACCAUUGCUCCGCAAGUUCGAAGCUUACGGAAACCAAAUAAUGAUCAAGUUGCCAUUGCAAUUGAUAUGGAUGGCAAUAGUCCGGGGCUGGAGGAUGAUGAUGAUGAUAAAGCUCAUGGUUUUAAGUCGCUGACCACAUCAAAAAUUGUCCCACGAUUUACAAGACCUGUCUCAAACAUGGUUGAUGGAUUAUGGAUGUCCAUCGACCGAGCCCUAAUGCGACAACCUGCUUUACGUCUUGGUGUAAUCCUCUAUUGGGCUUUGAUGCAUGCCAUGCUUGCAACUUUUGUAGUCUGAGAAUCUGAACUGGUCAGCGCUGUAUAUUAUCUCUAGUUUUUCUUAAAGUGCAUCCAUCCAUAUCAUCAGGUCUCUGAUAAUUCUAGGUCACCAGCACAGCUUCAGUUGUGGCUGAGAUAAGUUUAUUAGCUUCUAUACGUAUAAUCAUCUAGGUCGCUCAUUCUUUCGUCAUUCGUGGACCAGGGAACUGUGAUUUCCUCGCUUUUACAACACGAAUCACAGAUUGCUUGGUGUUUUUCCAAUAAGAAGGGAAGUUAUUAUAUAGGAUUACUAUACAGUGGAGAUGCAGGUGAUUGAUUAUAGUCGACAGAAGACAUUCUUCUGUUUUGUCAUGGCGAGACCGGCAAUUCGCCUUAGUUUUGUUCAUUCUCUGUGUGGAAUUGUUUCUUUUACUGCAUCACCCAUAUAUUAUAGCUCUAGUGCUGGAUCAUCAAAAUGUUGUAUUCGACACUUUCUGGGAUUGGGAUUGGGAUUGGGAUUGGGAUUUUCCCCCCGGUAGUGGUAUAUACAUGUAUCGUUUCAAAACGUUAUUCUCACUGUGCUGAGAUGGAGAAUAAAAUUAAUGGAAAAACUGCACAUAAUA